rnacentral:lncRNA from 1 species
AUUAGUCUUACUUUCAAACACAGAAUGUUGAUUGAAUAAUAAAGACACAAAAAUCAUUCCAUAGUUUACAUGCAUUUUUCAAAGUGUUUAUAUAAUUUCCUUAAAAAAAUCCAAGGCUUCUUUUGCAUAUUUUGCUAUAUUGUAUUUACACUAUCAACCAGUACAUACAAUAAAUAGUUCAUAGUGUGCAUAAAAAGGACUAAACUUGGAAUGUAUUCUGUUUGAAUCUCAUCUCUCUCUCAUUCUGUAUGUAUUAUGUAUAUACACACACACACAAAUAUACAAAGCCACAUUUCUGAUUUGUGUCAUCAGCUCCCACAAGACUCAUUCAUCCAAAGAAAGCAGAAGCAGAAAAUGUCAUCGUAUCAGAAGACAAAGCAAGAAUAUGAAAGGAUAAAGGAGGAACGAGCACGAAAAAGAGAGGAAUUCUUGAAAGACAAAGCUCAGCGAGAGGAGGCUCUGAAGAAAUACAAGGAGAAGAAAACAGCAACAUAUCAGUUGUUGAAAAGAAAACCAAAAAGGGUCAGCCCAACCUUAACCUGCAUAUGGAGCUGUUGCUGCAAAAGAUUGAAGCUCAGCGCAAAUAAUUCAGUAUCAUCCAUAAAAUCAGACUGUAAUCACACAAUAAACUGUGUCUUUUAGGUUUUUUUUUUUUUUUUUUUUGUUUGUACUUCCCAGUAAUAUUUCUUGUAAGUAAAUAAAAUAUUAAAUUAUACUCUUCUUAAGUUAAUUCAAGCUAACAGUACAGAACUAAUGCUAUGACAGUAAGCUUAUGGAAAAACAUGAAGCUUUAUAAUAUCUAUUAUCUGGUAAAUCUAUUUUUAUCAUUAUAUUUAUGGUAAAUAAUGCUGUCAGCAGCCUAAAAGUACAGCAGUGCCUUAAAAUACUUUCUUAAACAUUUAUAGCAUAACUUUCUUCUUUUCUCUAACGACUCUUUUAAAGUAUUUUGUUGACAUGAUGUUGGAAUGAUAUAUUUUGUUUAUUAGGUGAAAGCAUUGAUAUCAAAAUAGGUAAUAAAAGAACCAAAUAGCUAAAAUAACAAAUAAUUUAAAUUACUGUUGAUACUGAAUUUUGUCUCCAGUAACUGUAAUAUGAUUCAUGAACAGAGGCAGAGGGUGUGGUCAUUGAGUCAUAUGGCCCCUCCUUCUUUAUUUGACUCCUCCCCCACAUCAUCAUAGUCUGUUUUUAAAAACAAGCAAAUUCAUAUUCAUUUUUAUAAAUGCAUCACAAUUUAGUUUAAAUAGGGUUUAAAUGAGUGACAUAAUGAUUAAAAGUACAUUAUGUAAAAAGAUGAGAAAAACAUACCUAACAGGUUUCUCAUCUUCAUUGCUGUUCUUCACAUCAUCAUACUCCUCCUGAUCUCCCUCUGAUACACAUGUGAAAUAAAACCUCACAUUGUAAUGUGUAACACAGCUUGUGUCAUUCAUCUCAUUCUCCUCAUGACUGUCUGAGACUAUUAGAUUAAACCUGAUAAAGCCAUGAUGAUUCAUUAAACGCAUGUUCAAUAUAUCAUAAAAACAUAUAUAAGAGUGAUAUUAAAUUGUAGUUCUGUGUGACUCACUCGUUACACCUUGAAAGUUCUGUCCAAUAAUGAUGAUGUCAUCAUAAUGCUCUAGUGUGUCCACUACACAUACAUGAAGAUAACAAACAGAACAAAUGUCACAUCAAGGUUGGUUCCGUACCCUACGUCGACCAACUAACUAACUUAUAAGGAAAGUAACUUAAAACCAAA